rnacentral:rRNA from 1 species
UACGUAGGGACCAAGCGUUGUUCGGAUUUACUGGGCGUAAAGGGCGCGUAGGCGGCAAUUCAAGUCAUCUGUGAAAUCUCCGGGCUUAACCCGGAACGGUCAGAUGAUACUGCUUUGCUAGAGUGCGGAAGGGCAAUCGGAAUUCUCGGUGUAGCGGUGAAAUGCGUAGAUAUCGAGAGGAACACCUGAGGUGAAGACGGGUUGCUGGGCCGACACUGACGCUGACAGCGCGAAAGCCAGGGGAGCAAACGGG